rnacentral:rRNA from 1 species
UACAGAGGUGGCAAGCGUUGUUCGGAUUUAUUGGGCGUAAAGGGUCCGUAGGCGGUUUGGAAAGUCAGAUGUGAAAUCCCACAGCUCAACUGUGGAACUGCAUUUGAAACUUCCAGACUAGAGUGUGAGAGGGGUUAAGGGAAUUCCCGGUGUAAGGGUGAAAUCUGCAGAGAUCGGGAGGAACACCAGUCGCGAAGGCGCUUAACUGGCUCACAACUGACGCUCAGGGACGAAAGCUAGGGUAGCAAACGGG